ACUACCGAUUGAAUGGUCAUAGGGAGGCCUCCGGAUUGGCACUGUCGGAUUCGCGAGACUCUGACGGAGGCCAAGAAGUUGGUCAAACUUGAUCAUUUAGAGGAAGUAAAAGUCGUAACAAGGUUUCCGUAGGUGAACCUGCGGAAGGAUCAUCACCGAUCUUCAUACAAAAAGAAGUGCGAGAAUUGCCUCGCUGCUUACUCUGUGAACCUGUACGAGACCGUGGGGGUCGAAGCCUGGCCUUCGUUAAAUGGGUGGAUGUUUUGUGCAUUGCCCGGCCCCCCAUUUGUUUUUGUUUUCUUAUCUCCUGCACGUAUUGUUUUUCUUGUUUUGACUUUGUCUGAAUGUCGAAAAUCAGAAGACAACUUUUAACGGUGGAUCUCUAGGCUCGUGCAUCGAUGAAGAACGCAGCCAGCCGCGAUAAGUAGUGUGAAUUGCAGAAUUCAGUGAAUCAUCGAAUCUUUGAACGCAAAUGGCACUCUUGGUCUACCAGGAGCAUGUCUGUCUGAGUGUUGGUUUCAAAAGCAAAAAAUCGUGCUUGUUUUGCACGGCGUUGAGACUUCACGGCCUUGCGGCCGUGUUUCUCGAAAUGCAGCGGGAAUCGAGAGUCACAAGCGAUUCGCGAAGCCAAAAUAUUUGACGACUUUGUGCUCGCUGCCGACCUCGCCACUUCCCACCCUGUUGCUCUCCGUCAACUUCUUGACCUCAGAUCAGGCAAGAUUACCCGCUGAAUUUAAGCAUAUUACUAAGCGGAGGAAGAGAAACUAACAAGGAUUCCCCCAGUAAUGGCGAAUGAAGAGGGAACAGCUCAAAUUUGAAAUCUCCGUUGUUUUCAACGGCGAAUUGUAGUUUCGAGAAGUACUUUCCAGACGAAUCGACCUUGCCUAAGUUGCUUGGAACAGCACGUCAUAGAGGGUGACAACCCCGUACGUGGCAAGGUUCGAUCGUCGGCGAUGUGCUUUCCAA
rnacentral:rRNA from 1 species